rnacentral:pre_miRNA from 1 species
UCUUAUGUCUGAGCAAAGAAAGUAGUUUCUUAAGAUGGCAUCUACUCCUGAUGAAGAUGCUGUGAA